CCUACGGGAGGCAGCAGUGAGGAAUAUUGGUCAAUGGACGCAAGUCUGAACCAGCCAAGCCGCGUGCAGGAUGACUGCCCUAUGGGUUGUAAACUUCUUUUAUAUGGGAGUAAAACAGGGUAUGCAUACCUGCUUGUAAGUAUCAUAUGAAUAAGGAUCGGCUAACUCCGUGCCAGCAGCCGCGGUAAUACGGAGGAUUCAAGCGUUAUCCGGAUUUAUUGGGUUUAAAGGGAGCGUAGGUGGUUGGUUAAGUUAGAUGUGAAAUCCCGCGGCUCAACUUUAGAAUUGCCUUUGAUACUGUCAGGCUAGAGAAUAGUAGCGGUAGGCGGAAUGCAUGGUGUAGCGGUGAAAUGCUUAGAGAUCACACAGAACACCGAUUGCGAAGGCAGCUUACUAAGCUACUUCUGACGCUGAGGCACGAAAGUGUGGGGAGCAAACAGGAUUAGAUACCCCAGUAGUC
rnacentral:rRNA from 1 species